AUUGAACGCUGGCGGCAUGCCUUACACAUGCAAGUCGAACGGUAACAGGUCUUCGGAUGCUGACGAGUGGCGAACGGGUGAGUAAUACAUCGGAACGUGCCCGAGAGUGGGGGAUAACGAAGCGAAAGCUUGGCUAAUACCGCAUACGAUCUCAGGAUGAAAGCAGGGGACCGCAAGGCCUUGCGCUCACGGAGCGGCCGAUGGCAGAUUAGGUAGUUGGUGGGAUAAAAGCUUACCAAGCCGACGAUCUGUAGCUGGUCUGAGAGGACGACCAGCCACACUGGGACUGAGACACGGCCCAGACUCCUACGGGAGGCAGCAGUGGGGAAUUUUGGACAAUGGGCGCAAGCCUGAUCCAGCCAUGCCGCGCGCAGGAUGAAGGCCUUCGGGUUGUAAACUGCUUUUGUACGGAACGAAAAGACUCUGGUUAAUACCUGGGGUCCAUGACGGUACCGUAAGAAUAAGCACCGGCUAACUACGUGCCAGCCGCCGCAGUAA
rnacentral:rRNA from 1 species